rnacentral:rRNA from 1 species
AUGAAUGGAAAUGCUGAAGCUGAUUCUACCCUUGUUUUCGACAAAGAAACAUUGGAUAAAGUCUAUGAAAAAGUAGCUCCAUCGAUUGUGAAAGUCUUGCUAAAACCAUUUAGCACGGGAUUUGUUGUCUCGUCCACAGAGAAACAUAACAUGGUAGCUGUUUGUUCCAUGUUGUUAAUUGAGUGCAAAGAGAAGAUACGAGUCCGCUAUUCUGAUGGAGAUACUGCUGUUGUUGAUCAUACUGAAAAAGUCUCUAACAGUGAUAUGACUAUACUGUACGCACGUAAAACUGGAAAGGCACGUCCAGCAGUACAAUUUGGAGUCUUGGAGGAUAUCGUAUGCCAAAAGAUUGUGAGUCUUUUUCCUUACAAGGACGGCCUCAUGAUGUUCAAAGGUCACAUAGGUUUAGAUGAUUGUACCUGUGAGGAUUCCAGUGGGAACAUUAUUCCAGGCCAAAAUAUCUUCUCAUUCACUUGUCCUGUGGGGGGUUCUUACUCGAUACAUUUAUACAUUAUUCCAGGCCAACCUUUAAGCCGUGGUGCAGGGCAGAGAUUGUGA